CGGCCGAUAGAUGGCGAGGGAGCGACGCUUUUUCAAGGGAGUCAUCCUCGUGGCCUCGUUCGGGCCGGGGUCGGCCGC
rnacentral:tRNA from 1 species